UCUGGAGCGGGAGAAUCAUGGCGACUCCUGACUCAGCUUCUUUCUCCCAGCAUUCUGUUCUGUUUUCUCCGCCUACCUAAGGGUUGGCCUAUCAAAUGGGCCUAGGCAGUUUCUUUAUUAAUAAGAAAUCACUCCCACAUCAAGAAUGGACCUGCUGCUCUGGUGUUUGAAGCCAUGAACAAUGAACAUUUCUAUAAAUUAUAACAGGAAAUCAAAGCCGUGUGACUGAAUGUUGAGCCCUCUGGUCCCUCCUAGAACAUCAAUGAUGUGGUUCUUGGAAACCACAAGUUCUUAUUUUUCACGUUUUACACAGGAGAAAGCUAAAUUACUGAAAGGUUAAGGACGCACAAACAUUCUCAUCAAGACUUUCUCUAAGAAUCAAAAUUAUUCUGCAGAGUCAUGGCAUUAACAACUUCUUUCACUGUUCUUCUGGUAUCCAUAUUAUAUAUCCAACAUGAAAUUGUAGCUUCAGAGGUUUUUGACCCUAGCUGACUUGCUCUAAGGCUCUGAGACUGAGGUGAAACGCACCCCCGUAAUGAGAAGUCUGUGAUGAUGGCACAGGCCUGCUGAACCAAGGUGUCCAGAAGUGGAGAGAAGAAGAGACCCAAGUACAAGAGGUUCCAUUUGAGCACUCACAAGAGGAAACCUUCAGCACAUAUCCCCAUCCCAGUGACUCUUCCAGCUAGACCCUACCUGUUGGUUUCUGCCACAUCCCAACAAUGCCAUCAGAUGAUCACGCCCUCAGUGAA